GAUGAGACUAGUCACACCUUGGCACCACAUUUGUCCUGAUAUGCAAGAGUUCUCGGGGAGAAUCUGCUGGUCUUCAUUCAGUGGUGGAGGCCAUUGGUGCCCAUCAGAAACAUGG
ensembl:snoRNA